CCCGCCCCGCCCGUUGACCUCCGGCCCUAGCGGCUCUCUCUAGGAGCCACGGAACGAGGCAUCCUGGAAAUUGUAGUUCUCCCCGGACCUCAACCGCCGGGUUCUGGCGGCGGUCGCGGGAGUCAGCCCAAAGCUGGGCAAAACCAGUUUCUACCUCCCCCACCAGAAAGGAGGCUGCCGGAGGCCCUGGGACACCUGAACAGAAUCAUGAGCUCCUGAGGGUGAAGACAGGAGGACAGAAGGAGAGUAGCAGACACCAGAGAUGUUGGGGCACUGGUACAGCCCCAGACCCAGCCUUAGCAACUGCAACCACUGGCCCCGUGAACGUUGACUGGAGGGGAGCCGGGGAGGAGCCACCCCUGAGGCCUUCUCUCACCGCCUGAGGCAGCUGAAUAACAGCCCCCAAGGACGCCCAGGUCCUAACCCACAGAACCUGUGACUAUGUCACCUUACAUGGAAAAGGGUCUUUGCGGAUAUGAUUGAGCUAAGGAUCUCGGGCGGAGGAGAUGAUGCUGGUUAUCUGGGGGGCCUCUAAAUAUAAUCCUUAUAAAAGGUAGACACAAGGUACAGUCAGAGAACAAGAUGGGAUGAUGGAAGCAGACGCGGAAGACAGGGCUAUGAACUACAGAACUUCAGGGGACCUCUAAAAGGUGGAAGAAGCAAGGGCACAGAUUCUCCCCUAGAGUCUCCAAAGAAAUACCUUGAUUUUCGCCAUAAGACCCACCUUGGACUUCUGGCCUCCAGAACUGUGAGAGAAUAAAUGAGUAUGGUUUUGA